rnacentral:tRNA from 1 species
GGGCAUUUGGCACAGUGGUAGCGCGCACGCUUCGCAUUCACCAGUGCCUGCGUGAGGUCCAGGGUUCAAUCCCCUGAAUGUCCA